rnacentral:rRNA from 1 species
UACGUAGGGUGCGAGCGUUGUCCGGAAUUACUGGGCGUAAAGAGCUCGUAGGUGGCUUGUCGCGUUGUCCGUGAAAACUCACAGCUCAACUGUGGGCGUGCGGGCGAUACGGGCAGACUGGAGUACUGCAGGGGAGACUGGAAUUCCUGGUGUAGCGGUGGAAUGCGUAGAGAUCCGGAGGAACACCAGCGGCGAAGGCGGCGUCCUGGACUGGGCCUGACGCUGAGGCGCGAAAGCUAGGGGAGCAAACGGG